rnacentral:rRNA from 1 species
GCAAGUCGAGGGGAAACGAUAUUGGAAGCUUGCUUCCGAUAGGCGUCGACCGGCGCACGGGUGAGUAACGCGUGUCCAAUCUGCCCAACACUUGGGGAUAACCUUGCGAAAGUAAGACUAAUACUCAAUGAUGUCUCUAGAAGACAUCUGAAAGAGAUUAAAGAUUUAUCGGUGAUGGAUGGGGAUGCGUCUGAUUAGCUUGUUGGCGGGGUAACGGCCCACCAAGGCAACGAUCAGUAGGGGUUCUGAGAGGAAGAUC